UUCCAGCCGCGGCAGAGCAGGAGAAGUUGAGGGGCGGAGCAGGAGCGGGGAGGGCGGGAAGGAGAGCAGCAGUGAGUGCGGGAGCAGGCGCCCGGAGACGGAGAGCGAGUGGAUGAGUGAGGAGAGGAGCAGGUCGAGCGGGAAGCAGAGGCGGUGGUGCUGGAUGAAAGGGAGCAGCGCGAAGGCGAGCGGCAGGGAUGCGUCGCUGGCGGCGAGGCCCCGGAGCAGAGUGUGCCACUCGUGCGAGGUGCCACGGCACGGCGGAGUAGGACGCGGCGAGGCGGCGCUCGGGGGCUGGCACGGAGGGCGGAGGAGACGGCGAGGUGAGCGAGGUGGCGGAGGAGGAGCCGGAGAGGCGGAGGAGCGAGGCGAGGUGAGCAGCGGCUCGAAGUCGUAGCGGCUGGCGGGGCCGGCGGCGGAGACGGAGACCGAGGAGGUGGUGCAGCUGGGUACGAGGAGGCGGAGGCACUGGCGCUGGUGGCUGUCCGCCGCCGCCAGUCCUCUCCGGCCUCCUCCGUCGUAUCCUUGUCAAACUCCGACGUUUUUCUCCCGUGUCGUGAUUUGGAUGCACAAUUGGAGAUCGUGUCCUUGUCCAACACCAAACAAUGGAGUGCCUGACCCGGAUUUCAGUUGCCUGCUAUAAGGAGGAGGGGUCCUCGGCCAGAAUCUCCAUCAGGUUGCGUCUUUGUACCAUGAGCUCCAUCAAAGCCCGUCCAAAUUGCAAUUUUCGACGAAACGUCCAAUAUCGCCGCCGAGUUCGCCGGAGGAAGAAGCGCCGAGUUCGCCGGAGGAAAAAGAACAUCCGUCCAACCGUCCAUUGUCGCCUGCCUCGGCUACACCAGAGGUAUGUAUCUCCUUGAUAUUCACUGGAUAGAAUCCCAUGUUUUACAUAUAAUUCUGUCCCCUGGCUCUGUAUGCAACUCUGUUCUUUCUUCAGUUAUGAAAUAGCUUUGUAGUUUUAUGUGGUGAAAGUUUUACGAAAAGUGUAACGCCCACACGUGUGGGCGUUAGCCAACUCACCCACACGCCUCCAUCACCGUCCAGUAACUUCUGCACGAAUCUUGGCACGAAUUAGCUGAUUUUGUAUGCCACGUAGGACAACUCGCGUGUGUGGUGUGUGAGAGAGGUCGCCCACACAUCCGUUUUACCACACGGAGGGGCCGGUGUGUGGGCGUUUAGCAGUUCGCCCACACACCAGUUUUCAGUCACACACAAGGGCUGGUGUGUGGGCGUUUGCCAUCUCGCCCACACGCCCGCCUCCUCUCCCACACCCAAGCUGCCAGUUGCCAUGCGUUUUGCAGGGUACAUGGCAACUGCCCUAGUGUGAUUGCAAGCAGAUGGCAACUCUCUUUUUUUUUUUACCCGAACAUGUCAGUUGCCAUAUGUUUUGCAUGGUACAGGGCAAACUGCCCUAGCGUGCACGUAAGCAGAUGGCAACUCUUUCUUUUUAAAUGGCAACUGCCCUAGCGUGCUUGUGAGCACAUGGCAACUCUCUCUUUUACCCGAACAUGUUUUUUGCCAUGCCUUUUUUUGUAGCGCUACAUGGCAACUGCCUAGUGUUAGUAGGUGGCAACUCCUAAAGUUUUGAAAUCAUGGCAACUGCAGUAGACCAGACCACACAUGGCAACAGCUGUAGUUGUCCAAAAAAUGGCAAUCUGGAACUGUGACCUGAGAUGGCAACUGUAGUUCGACAUGGCAACCGUAGUUCAGCGACAUGGCAACUGCACUUAAACGAACAUGGACGAGGGUCCGGCCCAUGGCAACUGCGGGGCGCGCGGUAAAGUGUCACGUGGGGCGUGCGGGACCACGAGGUACGAGGCCUGACGUACCGGGCGUGUGGGCGUUAUCUAUUUCGCCCACACGCACGCGUGUAAGAGGGACCGGGAGGGGAAAAGAGGCGUGUGGGCGCUAGUUGUUUUGCCCACACACAGACGUGUGGGCUGGUCCUCUUAGGCACCACACAGAACGUGUGGGCAGAUUCCUUAACGCCCACACGUGUGGCAGUUAUCGGCGUCCAAGUUUUAGAGGCUGUUGAUAGCUUUCCAAAGGUAUUAAGUUUGUGCAAUUCGGCAUAAUGAUUAUGAAGAUAUCGCCAAAUAACAGUUCUGCUGUUCCAGGAUUUUCAGUCCAAGCAGAUUUGCAAGAAUUAAUGGCGACUUUAGUUUAGCCUUACUGAAAUAAGGGUCAAUACUUAAUUUUGUACUGUAGUAUAUAUGUAUUUUGCUGUUUUCUCAACGAAUUAUAUUAUAUCAAUAUCAAUAAGCCAACAUUGCUCAGGCCUUAUUUUUUAGCUAUCCCCUUGACCCCUGUUUCAGUUAUUUUUCUGACCCCUGUCUUGCUGGCGAGCCCGUGCGCGGCUACUGUUGUUGCUCGCGCGCCCGUCCGGGUCCCUGAUCGUUGCCAAGGAUGAGACGAUUUUAGUUGCCGUGGAUCGUAUAGAUAGGCCCUGUGCAUCUUGAUCUCGAUUGAAUCUGAUUGGAUGAGCAUGAAUUAUUCGGUUCUACACUCCAGGUAAAAAUAUGCCACACAAGCUGUUUUAUGUCUGCAGAAUAAGCAUAAUUUUUAUCCCCAUGAGCGCGUCUACUAGAUCGAUUUGUGUUACACAAACUUACUUGGUUAAGUGCAGGAAUGUCUAGCGAAUUAUAUUCAGGAACCUUGGUGACUUUUCAAUAUAAUAACCUCGCAAAGAACCUUGCUAAGCUAAACUCAUGAUUACCUCGCUCUUGUACGAGAUAAUAGUAUGGAGUAGAACCAUAUGCAUCUUGAUCUGGAUUGAAUCUGAUUGGGUGAGCAUGAAUAUUCGGUUCUGGAGUGCAGGUCGAAAGUAUGCUACACAUGCUGGUUUUUGUCUGCAGAUAAGCCGAGCUUUGGUGGCAGGUUGAGAACUAAUGAUGGACGACGUAACAGCUGUUAAAGAGGAGAUUAAAGGAUGGAAGAUGACAGCAGAGGAGGAGGCUGAAGCUGAAAAUGGAUGACAACACUUAAUCGAUCAUUGUUGAGGAUUUUGAAACCCGGCCUUCAUAAAGAAAGCGAAAUGUUCUGAAUCGGGUGUUUUGAAAUGGAGGUUUAACUUUAUUUGUAAGGCCCGCUUGGUACGUCCGCCCUGAGGCAUCACCAUCUACAUGGUGGAAGAGGUUCGUCACUGUGGACAACAUCAGUGGCGACGUUGUUUCCAAUACGCAGCAAGUGCGCGACUUCGGUGAGGGUGCGCAAGGUUUCUGCAUGUCCCUCAAGUUCCUGCGGGAGUCUCCAUCUGAUGUAUGGUACUUUGCCAAGAGAAAUGCCGAAUUCUUAGUCCAGUGGUAGAAAGAAGGUGUCUGUCAGGUCUUAGGCUCCUAGCUCAUCUUGCUUUAAUCGUAAAUCAUAUCAGGUCAAGGAGUAGCUUCCCGCAAAAAAAAGGUUCAAGGAGUACCAUUAGCACCACUGAAGCAGCAGCAAAAGGAUCAAAACCACAUUCUUCAGUAUCCUACUCGGCAAAAAAAGGGCGAAAACACUGACUUCCAGAAAAAAAAAACAUGAAGAAUUCUUCAAGCACCAGACUGAGACAGAUUCCUUGAGAAGUGCGCUUGAUAAUAUCAGGUGGUCAGGUUCUUUUCUAAGUUGAGGUAGGGUUGCCUCUUCAAUCUGUGAUAUUCAAACGAGAUGGAAAAUGAAUAUAUAGAGGAAUAUAAUUUGAAUACAUUAUUAACAGCCUCCAAAUUUUUAUCA